CCCCCUACUCUCAUCUCUUACGGAACAUUCGAUCGCGGAAUAAGAAGUUUUGAUUGACUGGCGUAAAACGUAUACAAAUCAAUAAUGCGAAAAGGAAAAUAUGUAUAACGAAUAAUUUUCUGUAAAUCUAUAUUCUUUUUCACUAUAUAAUAAAGAAAGAGAGAAGCUUGUAAACUUAAAUAAUACGAUGAAAACAGAAGGUAAUAUUACGAAACAAAUUUACAAGCAAUAUUUCUUGUUUGAUAUUAAUAUAUAUUUUUAAAUAUUUUAAACGAUAAAACAGAGAAAAAUAUUAAUAGUCGAUUAUCAAAAUUCUUUAGUUAAUUUCUAAUAGUAAAUUGUAAAGAACAGAAGGUGUGAAAAAAAGAAAAGACCAGAAACGAAAAAAGAAAAAUAAUUUGUCCAGUUAAUGGAAGUAUCAUCGAGAAAUUUUGCUUACUUACUUCCGACCCACGACAUUUCGGCUCUUUCUAUCACAGAAUACGUGGUAUUGAUUAACUGCAUAGAAUAUAAUAACUCCUUCCACCGAGCCACGCCUCAGAAAUUAACUAGUCACCCGAUAUGGCGAUAUUCGGAAGAAAUUCUCCUGCAGAAGUCAUCCUCUCAAUAAUUUUUGAAGGAGUAAUACGCAAAGGUAUACGAGACUAACCGAAGGCAAAAGCAAUUCCAAUUUCUGGGAAGUAUUGCAGAGGAUCCGUAUUGAACGAUAUCUGGAUUCUAAUUACGUCCAAAGAAGAUAUAUGGAUUUCAACUAAGCCCAAUGUGAUCAUUAAACAUUUGACAUCCAAAAUGAUACACUCUUCAAUUGGUACUUCCUGUUCUUCCUCACAUCCGACGAUUCGUUCUACUUGGCUAGUAGAAAUGUCCGAAAGUCAACGAGCGUAGGAAAUGGAAACGUUUACCUCUUCAGACUUAUAUUUAAAUGAUAUUUUAUCAUGGCGACUAGAAUAUUUCUAUUGAUGAACAUUAUUCGAGCAUAUUGAAGCAGAAGAGUGUUUCAAGAGGCAGUUGAAAAUUCUAACAAAGGAAGGAACAUCGUUAGCUAUUGUUCAUGUAUGCAUUAUGUGAUUGUGAAUACCUUGGAAGAGGAAAAAGAAGAAAAUACUUACUUGCUUGACGACGAAGUUUCGAAAGAUCAAUAUGGCGCUGUUUUAUAAAGCUUGGAAGCCUGGUACGGGGAAAUGGGAAGGAUCUUUCUUCUUCAAAGCAUCUAACCGUGAGCUGCUUCAGUUGGAGGGUAUAAGCGAUUGUGCUCAAAAAGAUUUGUCGAUGAGCCGUCCGACGUUCCACGUGGGGCAAGGAUCACAGGGGAAUUAAAAUGAAACUGAGGGACGUUUAUCAUACAAAAUAAUUGAACAGACAGGGACGAUCAAAAGAUUCAUCUUUUUUCAAAGUAAUACCAUUAGUAGGGGAAUACUUUUAAAUUACACGUGAAAUAGAAUGCCCACGUCACGUCAUUGUUGUUCCAUCGAUUUAAAUUAAAUAACCAUUCGAUAUAAUUAAAAAGGUAAAAGUAUUGAAUUCUAUAUUUCAAUCUGUUUGCCGAAAUAUUCACGACAUAUACAUAAAAAAUAUUCGUAAUAUUUAAUUAGAGUUUUUCUUGAAUAUUCAUAUUUGGAUGAAAUAAUUUGAUGCGUAACGUUAAUUACCCAUUUAGUAUCUUAUGAAAGGAAUUUCGUGAUAGUGGAUGUCCGUAAUACGUUCUCCCAUAUUUAUCCUCAAGUACCUUCGUUUAAACCUUUCUCCAUUAUCUCUCUCCAUGUACGUGUGCUCUGGUGCGCGUCUAUCGGCAUCGGAUCGAGUGGCUUGCAUUGAGUGUGCGUGUGUACGUAGAACUCCUGCCUUAUUUUGAUAAUAAGGAAGGUAUUUUUUCAUUUGUUUUCCUGUCAUCAAACCAAGCAAACAAUAGGAGAUUGGCUGUAUAAUUCAAUAACCUAUUUAGAUUCAUUGUUUGAUAACAAGCUUACUUAUUUUGCAGAACAAUAGCCUAUUUUCUUAGGAACCAAUUGAUUUGGAACCUUAUAUAGGAAAUAUUAGAUAAUUAGAAGUGUAAUGGUAUUAUUGUUUUGCAUUCUCCAAUAGGGAGUAACUUUCCGGAACAAUUUAUCCGUUCAUAUGGAAGAAUCAUAUCAGCCGUGGUAUAUCGAUCCGCAAAAGACAAAUGAAAUCAUACAGCUAAAUAGAUAAUUGAAUUAUACCGCUAAUCGUAUUAUCGCAUUGUCUGCUUGGUUUGAUGAGGGGAGAACUAAUGAAAAAAUACCAUCCUUGUUUUCAAAAUAAGUGAGGAGAUGUACGCAAACACGCGCACUCAUUUCCGUCCACUUGACUGGAACACGUAAACGCGCAUGUGCACGGAGAGAGGUAGUAAUAAAUCGUUCAAUAUGAAAGUGCUGAAUGAUAGGUAGGAGAGAACGUAUUCCUCAACGAGCAAAUCGUUAAAUGCCGAUCAAUACCCCUUAACAAGGGAAUUUGUAGUCAUGCAGAAUCAUAUAUUUUUGCAGAAAAAUCACAAUUUUGUCCAUUAUAAUUUUCCAUGAUGUCUGUGAUAAAUGUUGAAUCUAUUCUUUUCCAACAUUAUCAUCCCUCGCAUUAUGCGUGAGGUCUUUCCGUUUUUUUGUUAAAUGUAAUGACUAUCACUCCUAUCGUUUUCUUCCCGAUUAAUAUUUUUUUUUCUAAGAUGUCUGUAUUAAUGUUUGUCUUGAAGCCAAAAUUCUCCUUCGAUAUUACUUAUGGCACGAAACUUACUCGUGUUUGGAAAUUUUGCCAUUCUCUUAAUGAAAAAGAAAUGAGUAAGUAAACAGGUUGGAAGACUGAAAUUGUAUAUUACGAAAUCACGAAACGAUAUAUACCAAAGAAAUAUUACGUUUCUGAUUUUUUGGCUUAUUAGUGUAGGGAACUAUCUGUUUCACUAGAAAUUUCAAUACGACACGAGUUCUGCUUCGCAAAUCUCCCCUCAGUUUCAUGAUUGCUUGUUUACUCCAUCAAAUAUCAUUGCAUGGUACGAAGCGUACUCGCGUACGAUUGCAGACAAGUCAUUAUCGCUCUCUUUAAGUGGUUUAUAGAUGCCCUCAGACCGUUGUGAACGUACUUCUUUUUCAUAAAAUCGACUGACAUUCUUUUCGUAUAACUUGGUAAUUUGCCCAUUUCUUGAUUAACUAACUGAGUGGUUCUCACGAAGGGGAAAUACGGGAAAGAGGGGAAGGUAAUAUUAAGAAACCAUAAAUGUGACGAAAGAUUUUCUCCGAAUUCGUUUUUUAUUAUUAUGGAAUAGCGAAAAUGCUAUCUUCGAUAACUUGAGCAAUAUGCAUUUGUUUACAAGAAAAGGAAAUAAUAUUUGGAGAAAAUGUUUUCAUGCAAUAUGGCAGUAGAUAUAACUUCCGACGAAAAAAUUUUUUAAGAGAGAUGAUUUUACUAUAAGAAUUAUAUAGUAUAUACGUAGUACGAAAAUUGAUAGUGAUAUCAUUAUGAAUAAUAGAAUACUGAUAAUAGAAUACUAUUAAGCAUAAGUCAGACUUACGAGAAAAAUAACAGUGUGAAUUUCCUAUAUUAAUAUCCGAUUAACUUCAUAAGAAUUAGUCUUCAUAAUUACAAUAAUUAUUAUUAUAAUAAUUAAUUAUAUUAUAAAUAAUUAGUUUUAUGUGAUUAUUUCAAUUAAAAAAUAGGCGAAUUAUUGUAAGAUUCUCAUUAGGAAAUUCCAUGAUAUAUUACACAGAUAAUUUCGCAUGAACAUAGAGUAUAUAUACAUAUAAUUACAUAACUAUAGGAGUGGGGAAAUUAUUUAUCCCCAUGCGUUCUAGUUAGAGAAUUAGAUUUUAGGAAGCUUGGUCUUCUAUCCAGCUAACAUGUGGCUAAUUAAACUAGGUUAAGUCAUUCUUUCCGGGAUUUGCGACCCAGUCAUACGCAAGUGUGUCUCAUACGCGAAAUAAUCCCUAGCUAUCAUACAUGACAAGACCAGUUUUACAAAUGACAGAAACGAUUGAAACACCUUUAUCACUAAUCAUUCCAUUAUUCCAUUAAUAUUCAUUAAAUUUGACAUUAUAUUUGUAUAAGAUUUAUUAAAAGAUUUCAUUUCCAUAUUAUAGUACUUAUCGGAUAAUUACUCCCAUUUGGGAUUCGUACCAUUUAGAAUAUUUGAGAUAAAUUCACUUAUAAAUAAUAAUACUUUCUUCGACUGCAUAUAAUCUACGAAAAUAUUCAAUAAAUUAUUAUAAAGUAAAUAAAUAUGUUAUAGACUUUAUAUUCGACAUUACAUUUUAGAACAAAAAAUUUAUCAUAUCUCUAAAAUAUCUUACCAUUAAAUAAACACAGCGUUGAUUGUUUUUCCAUUUAAAAGUAAUUUUAAAAAGGAAAAUGUGUUCAUAUAGUAAUCUUAUUGUUUUUCUGGCAUUUGUACUAUCCAUGUUGUACAAUCGUAUCGUCGUAUGUACGUAAGAAUAGAUAGAAUCAAUGUGAUUGCUUUUCACUUUGGAUGUGCAAUGUUAUAUUAUCUGGUGGAGCGUUGUUUUUCUUUGGAAUUACAAUUCAAAUAUAAAUCAAUUCGGCUCCUUUGCAAUACCUCCAGGCUAUCGGAACUGUUUUCGUCUUCGGUUGGUUUAGUAUAUCUCUGAAACAAUAUAAGAUUCGUAGAUUAGUUAAGACUUACGGAAGCCAUUCAAUUGUUCAUCUAAUUGUAUUGUACUCAAAAAUAAAUUUUGUUACAUCCUUACAUGUGAUAUAAAGUACCUUUUCCGAAAGGCAACAAAUAUUAAUUUAGAUUGUAUUGAUCACGAAAAUCAGUUUCAUUUCUAUAAUAGAAAAUUGAAAUUUUAUAGUAAAUCACGAACUUACGAUUACUAACAAAUUUGCCUUGUAUUGAUAGCUUAAACAAAUGACUAGUAAGAAUGAAGAAAUUGCUUCAAACGCCUGAAUACUUAUAUAACUGAUCUCUGGGACGUAUGAAGUAUGCACGAACGAAUAUUUGUUGUACCACACUCGCUCGCGUAUUACUAGUUCGACAACUACCGAAUGAAUGACCUAUAGCUUCAUCGCCGUCCUCCGAACGGCGGUAUUUAUACCCCGCACAACGCUUUGGGUUGUUAACCGAGCGAAAACGAUGGCACCCUCCGCACAGGGUUAUUACACUUGGCGUAGAUUAAUCAAUAUAUCGAAAAAACCAAAAUGCUGAUAAGUUACGUGGAAAUGAAUUUCUCUAUUGAUCUCUAUUAAUUGGGUGUAUCAUUAUCCUUUUUCUUCUAUGCUCUUCUGUCGUUUGUUUUCUCCCCUCCUUCUCUUUACAAUUUGCAAUUAGAAAUUAAUUAAAGAAUUCUGAAAAUUGCCAAUUAUGUUUCUUCCUGUUUUUGUCGUUAAAAAUAUUUAUGAAUAAGAAUUAAUCUGGAGCAAAGAA